AUGGUUCAUCCUGCUGCGAGGCUGCGAGUCUUUUCUGAAGGAGAAGAACGAUUAGUCUGUAACUUGCGGAAGCAUGGGGGAGGAGUUGGGUUCGAGUUCAACAGCCAUCGGCUCUUCCAACAUAGGGUUUCAGCUUUUGAAGAAGUGUGGAUGGAAAGAAGGAACUGGUCUUGGUGUUGCAGAGCAGGGUAUGUUGGAGCCACUGCAAGCAAAUGUAAAGAAGAACAAACGUGGUCUGGGUGCUGAGAAACCAAAGAAGAAAACAUCACUACUCCCUGAAGAUCAUCCAUCUGCAAAGAAAAGUGAUAAUGAAAAUUCACAAUCUAGAAAGAAAACAAAAACAGCCUCCAAGAGGUUGAGAAAGAUGUUGGAAGAAGAAAAAUGCUUACAAGAGAAGGAAUUUGAGAGGGCCUUCUUCAGGGAGUUCUGGCCAGAUAAUGUUUGAAGAAUGAAGUCCUGUCAUUUCUCUGUAAUGCAGUUGGUUCCUUGUCAUUAUAGAUUUUGUACAGGGACUGGCAUAUACAGUGUAUCCAAAUUGUGCAUAGCUGUGAGCCUGUGACACAGGAUGACUAAAUCUUGCUGGGAAUGAUAGCAUCAAUAUGAGGGGGUGUGAGAUGGGCUGGAUGGUUAAUUGCAAUGGAGAGGAUCCAGAUUUAUUAUUUUUAUGGAGAAAGACUUGAAGUCAGUUCAUGAAAUUUUUUAUUGUUUUCUUUUAUUAUUAAUGCUUGAAGAAGAAAAUGUCGAGCCCAAAUGUAAGAACAUGCAUAGCCAUUCUUCCAUAGUUUAAUUUGGGGAACCUCUUUCAAUGGAUAAGAAUUCUAUUUUUGUUAGA